rnacentral:rRNA from 1 species
UAGGGAAUCUUCCACAAUGGACGAAAGUCUGAUGGAGCAACGCCGCGUGAGUGAAGAAGGGUUUCGGCUCGUAAAACUCUGUUGUUAAAGAAGAACAUAUCUGAGAGUAACUGUUCAGGUAUUGACGGUAUUUAACCAGAAAGCCACGGCUAACUACGUGCCAGCAGCCGCGGUAAUACGUAGGUGGCAAGCGUUGUCCGGAUUUAUUGGGCGUAAAGCGAGCGCAGGCGGUUUUUUAAGUCUGAUGUGAAAGCCUUCGGCUCAACCGAAGAAGUGCAUCGGAAACUGGGAAACUUGAGUGCAGAAGAGGACAGUGGAACUCCAUGUGUAGCGGUGAAAUGCGUAGAUAUAUGGAAGAA